rnacentral:sRNA from 1 species
GAGGCAUUCAGGGGACGAGGGGUUGGC